AGUCGAACGAACUCUGGUAUUGAUUGGUGCUUGCAUCAUGAUUUACAUUUGAGUGAGUGGCGAACUGGUGAGUAACACGUGGGAAACCUGCCCAGAAGCGGGGGAUAACACCUGGAAACAGAUGCUAAUACCGCAUAACAACUUGGACCGCAUGGUCCGAGCUUGAAAGAUGGCUUCGGCUAUCACUUUUGGAUGGUCCCGCGGCGUAUUAGCUAGAUGGUGGGGUAACGGCUCACCAUGGCAAUGAUACGUAGCCGACCUGAGAGGGUAAUCGGCCACAUUGGGACUGAGACACGGCCCAAACUCCUACGGGAGGCAGCAGUAGGGAAUCUUCCACAAUGGACGAAAGUCUGAUGGAGCAACGCCGCGUGAGUGAAGAAGGGUUUCGGCUCGUAAAACUCUGUUGUUAAAGAAGAACAUAUCUGAGAGUAACUGUUCAGGUAUUGACGGUAUUUAACCAGAAAGCCACGGCUAACUACGUGCCAGCAGCCGCGGUAAUACGUAGGUGGCAAGCGUUGUCCGGAUUUAUUGGGCGUAAAGCGAGCGCAGGCGGUUUUUUAAGUCUGAUGUGAAAGCCUUCGGCUCAACCGAAGAAGUGCAUCGGAAACUGGGAAACUUGAGUGCAGAAGAGGACAGUGGAACUCCAUGUGUAGCGGUGAAAUGCGUAGAUAUAUGGAAGAACACCAGUGGCGAAGGCGGCUGUCUGGUCUGUAACUGACGCUGAGGCUCGAAAGUAUGGGUAGCAAACAGGAUUAGAUACCCUGGUAGUCCAUACCGUAAACGAUGAAUGCUAAGUGUUGGAGGGUUUCCGCCCUUCAGUGCUGCAGCUAACGCAUUAAGCAUUCCGCCUGGGGAGUACGGCCGCAAGGCUGAAACUCAAAGGAAUUGACGGGGGCCCGCACAAGCGGUGGAGCAUGUGGUUUAAUUCGAAGCUACGCGAAGAACCUUACCAGGUCUUGACAUACUAUGCAAAUCUAAGAGAUUAGACGUUCCCUUCGGGGACAUGGAUACAGGUGGUGCAUGGUUGUCGUCAGCUCGUGUCGUGAGAUGUUGGGUUAAGUCCCGCAACGAGCGCAACCCUUAUUAUCAGUUGCCAGCAUUAAGUUGGGCACUCUGGUGAGACUGCCGGUGACAAACCGGAGGAAGGUGGGGAUGACGUCAAAUCAUCAUGCCCCUUAUGACCUGGGCUACACACGUGCUACAAUGGAUGGUACAACGAGUUGCGAACUCGCGAGAGUAAGCUAAUCUCUUAAAGCCAUUCUCAGUUCGGAUUGUAGGCUGCAACUCGCCUACAUGAAGUCGGAAUCGCUAGUAAUCGCGGAUCAGCAUGCCGCGGUGAAUACGUUCCCGGGCCUUGUACACACCGCCCGUCACACCAUGAGAGUUUGUAACACCCAAAGUCGGUGGGGUAACCUUUUAGGAACCAGCCGCCUAAGGU
rnacentral:rRNA from 2 species